UACGUAGGGUGCAAGCGUUAAUCGGAAUUACUGGGCGUAAAGCGUGCGCAGGCGGUUUUGUAAGUCUGUCGUGAAAGCCCCGGGCUUUAACCUGGGAAUUGCGAUGGAGACUGCAAGGCUUGAAUCUGGCAGAGGGGGGUAGAAUUCCACGUGUAGCAGUGAAAUGCGUAGAGAUGUGGAGGAACACCGAUGGCGAAGGCAGCCCCCUGGGUCAAGAUUGACGCUCAUGCACGAAAGCGUGGGGAGCAAACAGG
rnacentral:rRNA from 1 species